AAACCCUCAACCCUAGAUUGGUUAAAACCUUUCUUUGGUUUGGAUUUGGACGUUUGCCGAUGACAAGUCGGCUCGUCUUAAAAGUAAUAGCUGGAUCUGUCUCGCGACAUGGUUUGACUUGGCGUAAUAAGUAUUUCGCUAAGGACAUCUUCGGAUGGCCGCGUUGCAGGACUAAAGACCGCUUUCUAAUCCAUUGAUCUUCGGAUUAAUACUCUUGAC
rnacentral:misc_RNA from 2 species